UGCCCAUGACCCAUAUAAUUGAUAUUCAUUCUUUAACCAUAUAUCAUAGUAAGCUAUAUUUUUUUUUAUUUUGCACUAACCCACCAUCUUUCAUGUCAAAUUUCUGUCUCCAUUUAAGUUUAUGCCAUUGAACCAUCAUGGUAUUAAACACAAUUCCAAGUAAUUAUGCUGUUAUAGUGGGUCACCAUAUUUUCAACUUGGGUGGCAUUCCAGUUAUUGAAAUUUGUGUCAGAUUAGAACAAUGAACUAGACCUUUAGGAAUGGAUCUCAUAAUUUAAUAUGGAGCCAUAGUAUGCAACCCCUUCCCGGUAACAAAAAUAAACAAGCUUGAAAGGAUACAUGUCAAGCGGCAAAAUGUAUCACCAGAGAUUACAAGUCAAGAGAGGAUGGAUACGUCUCAAAAAUGCUUGCCAAACUGGAACUACAACAAGAUCUCCAGACAAGGACAAACAAGGCGUUGAAGCCAAAAUUAG
rnacentral:lncRNA from 1 species